GAAUCGAAUCAGUGCGUUCGAGAAGGCUGUAAGAUGUUUUGCAGAGAAGCCAGCUUCAAAUGUUCUUGGCACUACAUUUGACUCCUUGGGCAAGGCUUGUGACUUCUACAAUCUGUAUUCAUGGGAAAAAGGUUUUGGCAUUCGCUAUGGGAAGAGACGGCUAAAUGUGGAGUGGGUAAAAUGCAUGCAGGAAAUAGUUUGUGGCUGCUCGGGUAAAGCUGCGGUAGACUUCUACAGGCAGAAGACAAUGGAAGAGAUCUCAUAAAGCAACUCAGGCAGAACAAUGUGAAUCUGGGCAAGGUUUAUAGUAUCAUAGUCAUAGGUGGCUUUUUUGGUUCGAUGGAGAAUGUUCCCUUCACCAAGAGGUCUUUGUGAAAUCUGUGUGGGCAGAUCAACAGGGACCAGGCGGAUGAUGAUGUGAGGAAGACAAUGGAAGUUUUUGCAGACAUUGGAGCCAAGGAUCCGCAUUUUACAUACCGGGUUCAGGCUGACACUGAGGGCAGGUGCUCGAUUUCAUUAGGGCUAAAGAAAUACCAGCUAAGCAUAUAGUGAAGAGAUGGACGAGGGAUGAUCGCGACGUUCUGCCACCUCAUUUGAUACAAUACCAAAAGGACAGCAUGUAGAACAACCCUUUUUCGUACAGACACUUCACGAUGUACUUGCACGCCAUGGAUCUAGUCAGGCCGGCGACACUAGCGUUGAAGCCUACAAUCGGUUGCUGUAGUUGUUCAAGUCCAACUUGAUAGUGAUGUUACCCUAUGUAGAAGUUAGGGAUGGUCUUGGCCAGACUGGCGGACAGUGGUGCCGUAAAUCAGAGCCCCAUGGAGAUGGUUGCAGUGGAACAAAACAUGAUCAUCGAUGGAGGUACUGCUGAUUUAGCGGACAAUGAUUCUGUGUCCAGGACAAGCAACAUGUUGGAAGGACUACUGGCUCCAGCAAAACAGAAAGAUAUUGGGCGGCCAACGACAAGUAUGGAGAAGGCUCCAUAUGAAGUCUAAGCAAGAGGACUAGGUUUUGCACGAUUUGCAGAAAGCAAGGGCAUAAGCGAACUACAUGCCCCGGCCCUGGUGAUGUCCCCAAGCAACCUUGGUAGCCUGCGAAAUGCAAGAACUGUGGCGUGAGGGGCACACCGACAAAAUAAUUGUAAUAAAGCAAUGGAAUUAAGGCUGGCAAAUGGAAUGUAGAAGCUGAUGUGGCUCAUGAUGUCUUUUCAGUUAUCUUAUUUGCCAUUGAGGCAUAUGAAUGUAGGCAUCAUGUUUUACCUUCGGUGUGAUCAGACCGUGGUUACUUUGCAGACAGUGCAUGAGUAAUAUAAUACGUAGUAUGUCAGGUUGUGUCACUGAUUUUGUUUCAAAAUGUUGGCUUAUCCCCAGGUUUUGAUGAAUUUGUGUGCAUGCUUUUGAAGGUAAAACCUUGGCCUUUUGGUGCAGCGGGAGUGGCUGAAUUGUCUGAUUCGCUAUCUGAAAACUUGUACACUCCUGAAUAUCGAAAGAGAUGCAGAUGUGUUCUCGUUCGCUAUCUGUUUUCUGGAUCGUAAUCUAAGUUCCGGCCGUCAAUGCUUCACAGCAGAGCACCUUCUGGAACGUUGCUGGGUUGGUCUCUGAUGAAGAUCAGAAGAUGAAUCAUAUGAAGAGCAGCCGCGCUUGCAAGCUUGCAUGGAGGCGGAACAUGGUGGUGAAGAAAGGACUGGCGACUAUGAUCCAUUUGGAGCCACGGGGACUGAAGAGCUGAAUGCCCUUGUUGGUGAAGAGGGCGAGCAGUCUGAAGCACCACGCUGUGACUACGAGGAAGAAAUGGAGACAGAGGGGAACAAAUAUUCGGAGGAAGGGACGAUGGGUUGGCCACAAUAAAUGCCUCAGUUGGAUGGAGCCCGUUAGAUGACUCACGUCUGAGCCGUUGGACAUGUAAUGCGGUCGCUUCUGAUCCGCCUCGUGGGCGGUGACAGCGUUCGCAUUAAAAGCGG